rnacentral:tRNA from 1 species
GGAGAGUGUUACCCGUUGGACAGGGCAAGGGAUGAAACCCCUCAGAGCGCCGGGGGGGGAUAACCCGGCGUUGCGGUUCGACUCCGCUACUCUCCGCCA